UACGGGGGGAGCAAGCGUUGUUCGGAUUUACUGGGCGUAAAGGGCGCGUAGGCGGCCAGCGCAAGUCAGUUGUGAAAUCUCCGGGCUUAACUCGGAAAGGUCAACUGAUACUGUGCGACUAAAGUGCGGAAGGGGCAACUGGAAUUCUCGGUGUAGCGGUGAAAUGCGUAGAUAUCGGGAGGAACACCAGUGGCGAAGGCGGCUUCCUGGCCUGUUCUUGACGCUGAGGCGCGAAAGCUAGGGGAGCAAACGGG
rnacentral:rRNA from 1 species